AACGAACGCUGGCGGCAGGCUUAACACAUGCAAGUCGAACGCAUCCUUCGGGGUGAGUGGCAGACGGGUGAGUAACGCGUGGGAACGUGCCCUUCAGUUCGGGAUAACCCAGGGAAACUUGGGCUAAUACCGGAUACGUGCGAGAGCAGAAAGAUUUAUCGCUGAAGGAUCGGCCCGCGUCUGGUUAACUAGUUGGUGGGGUAAUGGCCCACCAAGGCGACGAUCAGUAGCUGGGCUGAGAGGAUGAUCAGCCACAUUGGGACUGAGACACGGCCCAAACUCCUACGGGUGGCAGCAGUGGGGAAUAUUGGACAAUGGGCGCAAGCCUGAUCCAGCCAUGCCGCGUGAGUGAUGAAGGCCUUAGGGUUGUAAAGCUCUUUCGUCCGGGACGAUAAUGACGGUACCGGAAGAAGAAGCCCCGGCUAACUUCGUGCCAGCAGCCGCAGUAA
rnacentral:rRNA from 1 species